rnacentral:lncRNA from 10 species
GAGAAGCGCUGGGCCGGACCAGAACUGUCUUAGCUUUUCCCUCUGCGGCUGCUCUGGUUGGUUACUUUGAGCCUGCCUCCUCAGCGCCGCAGGAGAGACUUAACAGCAAAAAUGACUGUGUCCUGAGUUCAGCCCCCACUGCUCUGGGAGCUUCCCCCUGGUUUCUGCACCUGAAGAAUGUCAUCCCAGCCGAAGGUUCUUAGGAGCGGGGAGCGACAAAGAAAAACAAAGAAAAGCAGACCUGAAAAUUGGGACCUGGGAGAAAUGGGAACUCAAACCAAAAACAGGAAUCAUCCUUGCUAAUUAGUGCUGAGUGGAUCAGGGACUAACCAGAAUCAGGCAACAAGAAAAUGUAAGUCAAAACUUAUGAUCAGCCCUGGCAACAGAGCUAGACCCUGUCUCUACAAAACAAAAUUUUUUUUAAUCAGCUGGGCAUAGUGGCAUGUGCCUGUAGUCCCAGCCACUCUGGAGGCUGAGGUGGGAGGAUGGCUUGAGCCCAGGAAUUUGAGGCUGCAAUGAGCUAUGAUCACACCACAUCUCAAAACAAAAACAAAACUUAUCUAGGGACUACACGUGGAGCUUUGGAUAUGGGCAGCUAAUCUGUCUAUGAUUAAAAACACGCAGGUGGCUUACUUUAUUAAUCCAAAAUAAAAGAAUUUGGGAACACAAGAAAGGGAAAAAUGAGCCUCCAUGUCAAGACCUUUCCCAGAAACCUGAUAGCUUAUAGUUAGAAAUUGUUAUAGACAGUCCAGUGCAAGGAGGACAUUAAGCCACAGGGGAAAGGAGUUGUGUGGCCAGGUUAGUCAGGCAAUUAACU